rnacentral:rRNA from 1 species
AGGAUGGUACCUCCUGAAUAAGUGACAGCAAACUAUGUGCCAGCAGCUGCGGUAAUACAUAGGUCGCGAGCGUUAUUCGGAUUUAUUGGGCGUAAAGCAAGCGCAGGCGGAUGGAUAAGUUCUGUGUKAAAAGCAGCUGCUCAACAGUUGUGGGCGCCGAAUACUGUCCAUCUAGAAUACGGUAGGAAGUUUUGGAAUUGAAUAUGGAGCGGUGGAAUGUGUAGAUAUAUUCAAGAACACCAGAGGCGAAGGCGAAAACUUAGGCCGCUAUUGACGCUUAGGCUUGAAAGUGUGGGGAGCAAAUGGGAUUAGAUACCCCAGUAGUCCACACUGUAAACGAUGGGUAUUAAGUCUUGGGUCUAGAGACUCAGGGCUGUAGCUUACGUGUUAAAUACCCCGCCUGGGUAGUACAUAUGCAAAUAUGAAACUCAAAGGAAUUGACGGGGACCUGAACAAGUGGUGGAACAUGUUGCUUAAUUCGAUACUACACGAAAAACCUUACCAAGAUUUGACAUCCYUCGCGAAACYUUAGAGAUAAAGUGAAGGUUAUCGAAGUGACAGGUGGUGCAUGGUUGUCGUCAGCUCGUGUCAUGAGAUGUUGGGUUAAGUCCCGCAACGAGCGCAACCCUACUCUCUAGUUGAUUGUUUAGAGAGACUGAACAGUAAUGUAUAGGAAGGUCGGGAUCACGUCAAAUCAUCAUGCCCCUUAUGUCUUGGGCUGCAAACGUGUUACAAUGGCSGGUACAACGUGCGGCAAACUAGCGAUGGCUAGCAAAUCACUAAAAACUCGUCUCAGUCCGGAUAAAAGGCUGCAAUUCGCCUUUUUGAAGUUGGAAUCACUAGUAAUCCCGUGUCAGCUAUAUCGGGGUGAAUACGUUCCCAGGUCUUGUACAC